rnacentral:misc_RNA from 1 species
UCAACCCUCGAGCCCUCGUGGCCCGGCGUUGGGGCCCUACGUCUGUAGGCCCUGAAAAGCAGUGGCGGUCCCGCGUGGCCCUCUCCUUUGCGUAGUAGCAUUAGCCUCGCAUCGGGAGCCCGUGGGCGCUAGCCUCUAAACCCCCAUCAAGCCCGCUCCGGCGGCACAA